GCCAAUAGUUGCAUCUGUGCUUUUUGCAAGAUGGUGAUAAAAAGGCAAAAGAAAUCUCUUCAUUUUCAAGACAUUCUCACAGAGAAAGCAACCAGACAUGGAACCAUCUCCCAGUCUUCACUGACAGCUUCCGUUGCAUGUGAUGUCCCUGGAUGCCCAAAAGAUUAGGCAUCCUGAUCCACCUGGWGCAUGUAACAGGGAUCAAAGGCAUUUCUCCAUCUACAAACUUAAGCUCCUGUUCCAUGGAAAUGAAGAGGAGAAACUGAAAGUCAUAGUUAUGCAAAUUAAUAGGGACAUUUGACUCAUGAAGGGGCCAAAUUAUGGACCAAUUCUCUCAUAUGGCAAUACAUUAAGACCAACAAAAAAGGUUUUCUCUCUGCUCUGUUAUUUUUCACAAUUCAUCUUGAAUCAUCAGCCUGGACCUUAGGACUGUUCUUGACCAYUCCAGUUUGCUGCAUUAAGUGCACCAUGGUGCUUUGGUGCUUUUCAACAUCCAGGAGAACACAUUAUUGCUGCUAUAAAGAAUGUGGACAUAAACACCAGCCUUCACAUUUUUAUCCCUGAAAUAUUUCCCACCUCAGAAAAAAAAGCUGUAUACUAUUGAAUAAGGUCCCAGAACAUAAUUUAGAAGCACCAGCAGCAGGAAAAAAAAAAGAAAAAAAAUUCCUGAAUUGGGAGAAAAGACAUGCUUC